UACGUAGGUGGCGAGCGUUAUCCGGAAUUAUUGGGCGUAAAGGGUGCGCAGGCGGCAAGAGAAGCUUAAGUUGAAAGCGUGGGGCUCAACUCCAUAAAGGCUUAGGAACUGACUUGCUGGAGUGCAGGAGAGGGCGAUGGAAUUCCAUGUGUAGCGGUAAAAUGCGUAGAGAUAUGGAGGAACACCAGUGGCGAAGGCGGUCGCCUGGCCUGCAACUGACGCUGAGGCACGAAAGCGUGGGGAGCAAA
rnacentral:rRNA from 1 species